AAGUCGUAACAAGGUCUCCGUAGGUGAACCUGCGGAGGGAUCAUUACUGAGUUCAUGCCCUUCGGGGUAGAUCUCUCACCCUGUGUCUUUAUACUUUGUUGCUUUGGCAGGCCGCUCGGUCUGACUGACCACUGGCUUCGGCUAGUGAGUGCCUGCCAGAGGACCCUUAAACCUGAAUAUUAGUGUCGUCUGAGUACUAUAUAAUAGUUAAAACUUUCAACAACGGAUCUCUUGGCUCUG
rnacentral:misc_RNA from 1 species